AUCUUCCGCAAUGGACGCAAGUCUGACGGAGCAACGCCGCGUGAGUGAUGAAGGUUUUCGGAUCGUAAAGCUCUGUUGCCAGGGAAGAACGCUCGGUAGUUAACUGCUACCGAGGUGACGGUACCUGAGAAGAAAGCCCCGGCUAACUACGUGCCAGCAGCCGCGGUAAUACGUAGGGGGCAAGCGUUGUCCGGAAUUAUUGGGCGUAAAGCGCGCGCAGGCGGCCUUUUAAGUCAGGUGUUUAAGCCCGGGGCUCAACCCCGGUUCGCACCUGAAACUGGGAGGCUUGAGUGCAGAAGAGGAGAGUGGAAUUCCACGUGUAGCGGUGAAAUGCGUAGAGAUGUGGAGGAACACCAGUGGCGAAGGCGACUCUCUGGUCUGUAACUGACGCUGAGGCGCGAAAGCGUGGGGAGCAAACAGGA
rnacentral:rRNA from 1 species